UACGGGGGGGGCAAGCGUUGUUCGGAAUUACUGGGCGUAAAGGGCUCGUAGGCGGCCAACUAAGUCAGACGUGAAAUCCCUCGGCUUAACCGGGGAACUGCAUCUGAUACUGGAUGGCUUGAGUUCGGGAGAGGGAUGCGGAAUUCCAGGUGUAGCGGUGAAAUGCGUAGAGAUCAUGAGGAAGACCAGUGGCGAAGGCGGGUCUCUGGACAGUUCCUGACACUGAGGCACGAAGGCCAGGGGAGCAAACGGG
rnacentral:rRNA from 1 species